GUUAAAGGGAAUGGGUCUCGGAAGCCGAGGGUCUGAAGUUCAAGACUCCUAGAAGGGGAGGGGAAUGAAAGCCACUCAGUGAAGAAGGUAAAACAAAUACAGUCUAUCUCUGACUUACAAUGGUUCGCCCUAAGAUUUUUGGACUUCAUGAUGGUGUGAAAGCAAUAUGAAUUCAGUAGAAACCGAACUUCAAAUUUUUGAAUUUUCCUCUGUUCCCAAGCUAGGGAUGUACUGUUGGAUACGCUCGGAUACACUCUUGUAUGCUGGACAGUGGCAGCAAGCAGCUCCCAGUCAGCCAUGCAAUCAGGAGGGUAAACAAUGGACACACUUCCAAUUAUUCCGGACCCAGACGACCAUUCCUCUUUCACCUUCAGUACAGUAUUUGAUGAAUUGCAUGAGAUAUCGAACACUUCAUUAUAAAAUAGGCUUUGUGGGAGUUCCCGUCGUGGCGCAGUGGUUAAUGAAUCCGACUAGGAACCAUGAGGUUGCGGGUUUGGUCCCUGUCCUUGCUCAGUGGGUUGAGGAUCCGGCGUUGUCGUGAGCUGUGGUGUAGGUUGCAGACGCAGCUCGGAUCCUGCAUUGCUGUGGCUGUGGCAUAGGCCGGUGGCUGCAGCUCUGAUUCGACCCCUGGCCUGGGAACCUCCAUAUGCCGCUGGAUUGGCUCAAGAAAUAGCAAAAAGACAAAAAAAAAAAAAAAA
rnacentral:lncRNA from 1 species